UAAAAUAUCGGAUCACAUUCACAGAAGAAGAAAAUGAGUCCCUGUGACCUGGAGCUGCUCUGUUAACUACCUCAACUACCUAACUGCCUUUUCACAUGUGUCGUUGCACACCGGCCUUCCAGGCACCAAGCACAUGAUGAAUGAUGCUGGUGGUGACAGAAGAUCCAUAGAGAAGAAACUUGAGAGUACCUUCCUGUGACAGCAGGUGAUCCACAUGGACGCUGUGUUUUUGCAUUGAGCCAUUCUUCAAGAGAGUGGGAGAAAAGCAUCCAGAGAGGAAGCUGUGCUUAGCUGAAGGCUAAUGCUCACGAUUUGGAUGGGAUGCACAGAAGAGCCUCUGUUGAGCUGUCACAAAGGAGAACCAAAAGCUGGCAGUGCUGGUAAAUAAAACUUUUGUAUUUAUAUCUGAAUAUGAAUAGCACUGCCACUUUCUUCACUAAGGAUUUCCCCAGGCCCUGAGCUGUUAGACAUUUGAGGAAAGCUAUUCACCAAGACGCAUGGCUUCACUGACACAAUUCUUAUUAACUUGCUUGAGUGACAGAAAGCUGGAGUUCCCUAAAAGACACUGAAAAUGUACCAAAGACUUAUUCAUCUUUACCUUUCAAGCCAGUUGAAAAUAAAAGCACUGAAACAAACAAGCAACUAAACAAAAAAUAAUAAUAAAACCUUGUUUGUUAACUACUUAACUUUCCUUUGUAUGCUUUCUUUUACAAAAGGCCUGAGCAUGUUGCAUGUAACUGGAGUUUAGAUGGGGCUUGGAUUAGGUCAUCUGUGCUGUGUUCCAUCAAGACAGGUGCCUUGGCAUUAAGGCUCAAUUCUUUCCUGGGGAAAUGAAAGAAAAAAAAAGAGUUCUAGACAAAAGCAAGGCAUUGAGAUGAUAGA